GGCUGCUGGCACAUAAUUAGCCGGGGCUUAUUCAUUAAGUACCGUCAAGGGAGUUUUUCCACUCUUUUUUCUUCCUUAAUAAAUGNANUUUACAUACCGAGGUACUUCAUCGUUCACGCGGCGUUGCUCGGUCAGAGUUUCCUCCAUUGCCGAAAAUUCCCUACUGCUGCCUCCCGUAGAGG
rnacentral:rRNA from 1 species